GGAGCUCUCCCAUAUGGUCGACCUGCAGGCGGCCGCGAAUUCACUAGUGAUUGUUUGAUCCUGGCUCAGGAUGAACGCUAGCGACAGGCCUAACACAUGCAAGUCGAGGGGUAUAAGUAGCUUGCUACUUAGAGACCGGCGCACGGGUGAGUAACGCGUAUGCAACCUACCUUUUACUGGGGGAUAGCCCAAAGAAAUUUGGAUUAAUACCGCAUAACAUAUUUGAAUCGCAUGGUUUAAAUAUUAAAACUUCGGUGGUAAAAGAUGGGCAUGCGUAGCAUUAGUUAGUUGGUGAGGUAACGGCUCACCAAGACUAUGAUGCUUAGGGGGUCUGAGAGGAUAGUCCCCCACACUGGUACUGAGACACGGACCAGACUCCUACGGGAGGCAGCAGUGAGGAAUAUUGGUCAAUGGGCGCAAGCCUGAACCAGCCAUGUCGCGUGCAGGAUGACGGCCCUAUGGGUUGUAAACUGCUUUUUUACAGGAAUAAACUUUGUUACGUGUAGCAAACUGAAGGUACUGUAAGAAUAAGGAUCGGCUAACUCCGUGCCAGCAGCCGCGGUAAUACGGAGGAUCCAAGCGUUAUCCGGAUUUAUUGGGUUUAAAGGGUCCGUAGGCGGGCUUUUAAGUCAGUGGUGAAAUCCCAGAGCUCAACUCUGGAACUGCCAUUGAUACUGAAGGUCUUGAAUUUAGUUGAGGUGGGCGGAAUACGUUAUGUAGCGGUGAAAUGCAUAGAUAUAACGUAGAACACCGAUUGCGAAGGCAGCUCACUAAGCUAACAUUG
rnacentral:rRNA from 1 species